rnacentral:rRNA from 1 species
UACGUAGGGUGCAAGCGUUAAUCGGAAUUACUGGGCGUAAAGCGUGCGCAGGCGGUCAUGCAAGACAGAUGUGAAAUCUCCGGGCUUAACCUGGGAACUGCAUUUGUGACUGCGUGACUAGAGUAUGGUAGAGGGGGAUGGAAUUCCGCGUGUAGCAGUGAAAUGCGUAGAUAUGCGGAGGAGCACCGAUGGCGAAGGCAAUUCCCUGGACCUGUACUGACGCUCAUGCACGAAAGCGUGGGGAGCAAACAGG